GACGAACCGUGCGAACGUUGUUCGGAAUCACUGGGCGUAAAGGGUUCGUAGGUGGCUUGUUAAGUCAGACGUGAAAUCCCUCGGCUCAACCGGGGAACUGCGUCUGAGACUGAUGAGCUCGAGUGCAGGAGAGGAACGCGGAAUUCCAGGUGUAGCGGUGAAAUGCGUAGAUAUCUGGAGGAACACCGGUGGCGAAGGCGGCGUUCUGGACUGCAACUGACACUGAGGAACGAAAGCCAGGGGAGCAAACGGG
rnacentral:rRNA from 1 species